rnacentral:rRNA from 1 species
UACGUAGGGACCAAGCGUUGUCCGGAAUCAUUGGGCGUAAAGAGCGUGUAGGCGGCUUGUUAAGUCUUGCGUGAAAUCUCGGGGCUCAACCCCGAGCGGUCGUGAGAAACUGGCAGGCUAGAGUGCGGGAGAGGAGAGUGGAAUUCCUGGUGUAGCGGUGAAAUGCGCAGAUAUCAGGAAGAACACCCGUGGCGAAGGCGGCUCUCUGGAACGCAACUGACGCUGAGACGCGAAAGUGUGGGGAGCAAACAGG